CAGCCGCCGCGGGAAUACGAAGGGUGCAAGCGUUACUCGGAAUUACUGGGCGUAAAGCGUGCGUAGGUGGUUGUUUAAGUCUGCUGUGAAAGCCCUGGGCUCAACCUGGGGAUUGCGGUGGAUACUGGGCAACUAGAGUAAGGUAGAGGAUAGUGGAAUUUCCGGUGUAGCAGUGAAAUGCGUAGAGAUCGGAAGGAACAUCUGUGGCGAAGGCGACUAUCUGGGCCAACACUGACACUGAGGCACGAAAGCGUGGGGAGCAAACAGGAUUAGAUACCCCUGUAGUUCCUGUCUCUUAUAC
rnacentral:rRNA from 1 species